GACAGAGGUGGCUAGCGUUGUUCGGAUUCAUUGGGUGUAAAGGGUGCGUAGGCGGUUUAGAAAGUCAGAUGUGAAAUCCCACAGCUCAACUGUGGAACUGCAUCUGAAACUUCUGAACUUGAGUGCGAGAGAGGUAAAGGGAAUUCCCGGUGUAAGGGUGAAAUCUGCAGAGAUCGGGAGGAACACCAGUAGCGAAGGCGCUUUACUGGCUCGUAACUGACGCUGAGUGCACGAAGGUAUGGGGAGCAAACGGG
rnacentral:rRNA from 1 species